rnacentral:tRNA from 1 species
AUAUAGCUCAAUGGCAGAGUGCUUGCCUAGCAUGUGUGAGGCCCUGGGUUCAACCCCCAGUAU